UGGGGAAUAUUGGACAAUGGGGGCAACCCUGAUCCAGCAAUGCCGCGUGUGUGAAGAAGGUCUUCGGAUUGUAAAGCACUUUCGACGGGGACGAUGAUGACGGUACCCGUAGAAGAAGCCCCGGCUAACUUCGUGCCAGCAGCCGCGGUAAUACGAAGGGGGCUAGCGUUGCUCGGAAUGACUGGGCGUAAAGGGCGUGUAGGCGGUUUACACAGUCAGAUGUGAAAUCCCCGGGCUUAACCUGGGAGCUGCAUUUGAUACGUGUAGACUAGAGUGUGAGAGAGGGUUUGUGGAAUUCCCAGUGUAGAGGUGAAAUUCGUA
rnacentral:rRNA from 1 species